UCGCAAGGCUAAAACUCAAAGGAAUUGACGGGGGCUCACACAAGCGGUGGAGCAUGUGGCUUAAUUCGAAGCAACGCGAAGAACCUUAUCCUGGGUUUGACAUGUAUGGAUUAACUCCCUGAAAGGGGAGCCACACCUUCGGGUGGAACAUACACAGGUGUUGCAUGGCUGUCGUCAGCUCGUGCUGUGAAGUGUCGGGUUAAGUCCCUUAACGAGCGCAACCCCUGUCGCUAGUUGCCAGCACAUAAUGGUGGGGACUCUAGCGAGACUGCCGGUGUUAAACCGGAGGAAGGUGGGGACGACGUCAAGUCCGCAUGGCCUUUAUGCCCAGGGCUGCACACGUGCUACAAUGGUAGGUACAGAACGAUGCAAUACCGCAAGGUGGAGCAAAUCGCUAAAACCUGCCCCAGUUCGGAUUGGAGGCUGCAAUUCGCCUCCAUGAAGUUGGAAUCGCUAGUAAUCGGGGAUCAGCUACGCCCCGGUGAAUACGUUCCUGAGCCUUGUACACACCGCCCGUCAAGUCAUGGAAGCUGGCAGUGCCCGAAGUCGCCGUAUUUCAACGGUGCCCACGGCAAGGCUGGUGACUGGGACUAAGUCGUAACAAGGUAGCCGUAGGGGAACCUGCGGCUGGAUCACCUCCUUUCUAAGG
rnacentral:rRNA from 1 species